AAUUUGCUGUUGGGAUUUUGGUCUUUUCUAUGCCACAUAGUAGCUGUAGUGGGGAGAACUUAGAGCAAAAUUCCAAUUCCAGUUAAGCAGAGGAGACUGGAAAGACUGUGCUAGCUUACACGCUGGUUUCUGUCAGCCUUGUGCAUUGUAUUUUCUGGAUUUAUGUUAUCUUUCUUAAGGUCCAUUUCAUCCAUAUAAGGGCAGGGUGGCGAAAAUUUUACUUACAAUUUUUCUCUAUGGGAAUAUGGAGCAGUUUCGUGAGUUAGACAUAUUCUCACAGGUUUCUGAAUUUUAACAAAAAGGAAUAAAAAAUAGGAAAAUGGGUGCUCAAAAAAUUUAAUAAUAUAAAGUAUAAAUGAUAUCAAACCAUGUUUCCAACAGAAUAAGAGUUUUCUAAAGACUAAUUGCCACAUGGAGACUGAUCAAGCUGUUAAAAAGAUGAUUUUAGCUAUAUAACAUCCAGCUAACUUUUUCAUUAAAGAUGUCUGUUACGCAAGCUGAGCAUGCAGCAUGUUCUGCCCUUUGGUUAACAAAUGGAACCAGGUUAUAGAAGUCAAAAUGCAAUUUAAAGCUGAUGAAAAGUUGUGAGAGGUUUUAUAUAACAAAAGCUUACAAUUGAGAGUUAAGGUAUAUUUCUUUCUAAGAUGAGAUUCUAGCAACAGACCAUUCUUUUUGUUAUGUGAAUUAGUGUUGCCAUGACACAGCACAGUGUUCAAGGUUCUUUCAUGUUUGAGGUCUCCUUUCUGAGUACUGACAUUUCAUAUCCUUAUUGCUUCUUAGAGAAGUAACCUGGAUUGCAGAAUUAUCUUUUGACUGCCUCAAGUCAGUAUGGCCAAUCUGUUAGGCUACUGAAGUUAAGGAUCCAGUCAAAAGAAUGUAUGAACCAUGAUCAGUUGUCUUGGAGAAAGGGAGAGACAGCUAUAUCGUGGAGAUAUAGCUAUUAGAAGAUAGGAGGGGACCACCUGGAACCACAUUCAAGGCAAAAAGGGAGGCCCUGGGGAAUUUACUUUGACAUGUGCAAGAACUUCAUCAAGUAUUUAAACUUCAAGUGUGAAAGUCAAUUUUAAGUUUUCAGGAAUGAUCCUUAUGAAAUUGCUCCAAUUUCCUCCUUUGGCUGAGUAACCAGCCUGCAGAGGAUGGAUACAGCAGAUGAGAUGUUUGACUGCACUAGGACUUUUAUCAUUAAAGCUUAAGCAAAUCAUGCAAUGGAGUAAAAGCAGACUGCUUCAAAAGGAGAGGUAUGUCCUGCUACUGAAGGUGUGUCCAGACCUGAGCAACUUUAAAAAGCAACUGGAGGUGAACAGCAAAAACAUAUAGAAAACAUGACUUACAGAUGCAUAGAAACAUGAAGGAGUGAAAUGACUUGCAGAGGUCACAUACAAAAUCUGUAGGAAAUUUGGGCUAAGAGCUAUGUCUUGUAGCUCCCAGUUCAAAGUCUUAACCACAGGAUUGUUAUUUCCCCCCACAUCAGUGAAGCCCUGUUUCAUCACCUUCAACAGCUGAUAAAUUACUGGUUUUAGCUGCUUAAAUUCCAGAACUUUGAAGGGAAAGGUAAGAAGUUUUUGUGGCUUUUAAGUGUUUUCAUAGACACCUUAAAUCAUUCACCAGCUCUAUAGAAAUUGAAUUAAAUGGACUUUCUUUCCUGACUUGUAAUUAUGUACGUAAGAAAUCUGAGGAAGCCAUUAGUUCAUAAAAAAAAUAAAAUGUAGUUCAGCAAUAGUUCAGAGACUAAGAGAUAGUAAACUAGUACUUCUAAAACUUGAAAUUGAUUACAUUUAUAAAGCACUUUUUUUCUCUCUCCAGGAAACAGAAUAAUGUCUAUAAACGUCUCCUCAGUGAAACAUUCAGUUACUCAAAGAGGCAUCUCUAUCUGAAGGUCGUCUUGGAAGUGUGCUUCUUUUGAGAUCUUUUUCUGUAAUGAUUCACAUCAAAUUGCCACACAGUUACCUUACACUUACCUUUAGGUUCUAUGUUUCAAUGUGACACUGUCUGAAAGAUAAGGACAGAUAACUAGUAACUAGUUGUGUCAAGUAUUAGUUCCAAGUAUUCCUCCACUGCAGGCCUUAGGCAUUUGCUUUUGGGCAUGUCUAUGCUGCAGUCUGGUGGCAUUAGGUCAGCUCAUGCAGAUAAGUAGGACUGAAAAAGUUGUCUGAAGCAUCAAAAGCAGUCAGGUUGCAAAGAUUGUCAGUACAAGGCUGUCAGUACAGCCUUGUGUAUUUUCCAUGGCUGUCUCCUACAUUAAGGUCUGUACUGGACAGUUUUCUUUGAUGUUGGUACCUAGCCUAGCAGAAUGAAAGUUUGCUUUGGCUCAUCUUUACAUACUGCAGUCAUGCUUCUCUUGUACUUGCAUGCAGAGGUAUCCUUUUUCAGGAUUGGAAAAAUGCUGGAUCUUCACAUCCACUCCCUCUAACCUUUGGGUUACUGCAUGAAUUAAUGCCCCUCAAAAUAGCACUUAUAGAGCUGGUUUUCUAUUGUAAAUCUGAAAUUUUUAUAUCAAAAGAACCUGCUGUUAUUGUUUCUUAGUGAAUGAGUUUCAUUGGCAAAUCUGAUUGAUAGAGAAAUUUAGAUCACGGAACUCUUGGUUAGCAUCAGUCCUCCUUUCCUCUGUCAUUUACUGAACUCUGCUCAUCAUGUCUGUUAUUUCUGACAUAAUCAUAGUCCUUUUUAUCCUUUGCUGCAUAUAGUUCUGAAGGAGAAAACCCCACUUUUUAUUCCUUAUGUAACCAACAUAAAAAAAUUCUCCCGAUUACUUAUUUAUUUACACAUUUAUUGGUAACCCUCUGAAAUUGUA